GAAGUCCCAGAAACCACGUACAGUUUGUGGCCACCCACUUCAGCGUUUCUUGGCAUAGAAAUGACAAGGGCCGUGCAGGAAUCAUCUUUGUUUCUGCCACAGUGGGGACUGACGUCUUGCCCGAAGUAGAUUCUUCACACGUACUCAUGUGACUGAAUGGAUGUCCUCUCCAGAACAGACUGGAGCUGUCCUGUCUCAGAGGUGCCUCCGUUGGUGGCCUUGAACUUGGUUUGCAGACAAAAGUGCAACACUGCACCACAGGAGAUGGGGCAGGGGCCUGCUGCUGGGUGUGGCCUCUCUCUCCUGGGCUGAGUGGACAGCUGGCCGAGGGCGUCUGUGCUCUUGCCUCUUGGGUGAGCUGACUUCUCACUGGACUGGUGAUGGAGGGGAAGGCACGAGGCCUGUGUGUCUGUGGACCUGAAGGGGGGCAGGGUGCAGUUGAAGGAAAACGUCAGGUGUAGGAGUGGGUGGGUGCACGGAGAGGCUGGAGGGGGGAAAAAACACUCUUGGAAAAAUCAAGGUUUAUUGCGACUUCAAGUCCCUGAGUCUUGAGGCAGCAGGAGGAGGGAAGGGGGAGCCCCAGAUCGGAGCCAGCAGGCACCCAGGGAUUUACAGCACGGUAUGGCUGGAGGCCCCAAAGCCACGAGACACAAUUCAUCAAAGAGCUGCUGCUGCUGGAGCAGAGAUGAAAGGCUUUCCAGGCCCGUCGGUGAUGCGCUUGCAGCUUUCCCCGGGGCAGCCACCUGCGGUGAGUAACAGGAGACACGGCUCCUCCCGGCGCCGAGGCCUGCGAGUCCAGAGCCCCCGGCUGCCCGGGGAGGGAGGCAUCCGGGAGCCCAGGGGAGGUUGGGAGGUGGGCGGGGCCUGGGCGGGGGCGGGGCCCCGGUGAGCCGGCGCACGUGACCGCCCCCUCCCUCCCCGCGUCGCCGCCGGGCGUGGCUGCGCCGUCCCCCGGCCGGGCCUCGCCCGUGACCCCGGCCCCUCCAGCGCCGCGCAGCACCGCGCGCAGGAGGCCCCGCCUGCCUGCCCCCCGCCUGCGCGGGACCGGCCGGUCGCCUCCCCCUCCUCCCUCUCCUCGCCCCUCCCGACUUUUCAGUCCGGACUGCGGGGGCCGGAGGUUAAAGCUUCAUUCCUGAGUGCUGCGUUCCAGAAACUUUUACAGAUGCCCCGGCGUUCUUGGAAGACGUUGAGAGGAAAUCCGAGCGUCCGACAUCCCCACCCAGACGCUCCAGAACCAGAGGGCAUCAACUCUCCAGAUCGUUUGACUUUCCCCGCUGUUAUUUGGAAAACGUCUGCGGGUAAAUUCCGAGGAAGGCCCAGGGGAUAUGGCUGGAGCACCUACAGCCUCAGUGUUAGAGACAAAGGCUGUUAGUUACCUUUCCAAGCAUGUUUACAUUUGAAGACAGGCACCAAGAACUCUUCACUGAAGGAAUUGGUGAUGAUGUUGGCAUUUCAGGCACGGUGGCAGCUGAAGCCUUUUCUGGCGGGGCACCCAGCCUGAGGCCGGUCCAGCACCGGAAUUCUGCUCGUCCUCUCCUGACCUACGGCAGGAUUUUGACGUCAGCUGUUACAGAAAUGAGGCCUGGAGACACAAAAUCAUCUGCCUGAGGAGUGAAUAGGAGAGCAGGACUCGACUCCAAGCCUGGGCUUAUCCCAUUUCUCGGAGGUUCCCUCCCCGGCGUGACUGGUAGCCUGGUUGGUCUCACAUCCCACUAACUCAAAAUGCUGAGGCCUCUCCAUCUUAAAGACAAACUGAUAAACCUUUGCCAGUGCCUGUCUCCAGCUCUUAGCCUUCUCCUGCUUCCCCCUGUACAUACCCGCAAGCCUGCCUUACGCUCUUGGGUUCCUCAGUCACUGCAAGCUAGUGUCCGCCUCCCUGGAAUGGCCCCUGCCAAGUUCCCUCUGUCCCCAGGACACUCUGUGGCCCUCGCCGUACCCGAGUCCUGUUUAACCCCAUCACAGCCCCUCUUCCUCCCAACAUGCCUCCCCUUAGCUUCUCUCCUGGAUUUCCUUCUACCUCUCCGGCCAUCCUGCCCUAGUGCCCUCGGCUCAGCCCAUCACCUGGAUGCUGCGAAUCUCCAGGUUUGGGGUCCAGGCCAUCUUCUCUUUACAAACCCCACGUUCUCCUUGGUUGGCUCAUUUCCUCAUGUGGCUUCAGUGACCACCACCAUGUCGACAACUCCCCAACCUCUCUCUCUAGCUCAGAUAUUUCCCUGUAGCUUGAGAUCUUCAUAUCGCUCUGAACGUGGAGUUCUGGUCCUGAAUCCACCACUUACCAGCUGGGUGACUGUGAUGGUUAAUUUUAUGUGUCAGCUUGACAGGGUGCCCAGAUAUUGGGUCAAACAUGAUUCCAGGUGUGUCUGUGAGGGUGUUUCUGGAUGAGAUCAGCAUUUGAAUACACUGAGCAAAGCAGGUGGCCCUUCCUAAUAUGGGUGGGCCUCAUCUGAUCCAAGGGAGACCUGAAGAGAACAAAAGGGCUACCCCUCUGUGAGUGACAGGGGAACUCCUCCUGCUGACCGCGGAGCGGGGACAUCGGUCUUUUUCUGCUUUUGGACUUGAACUGAAACAGUGGCUCAUCUUGAGUCUGUUGGGUUGGAACUUACACCGUUGGCUUUUCUGGUGUCAGAACUUCAGACUCAGGCCAGAACUGUGCCAUCAGAUCUCUUGGGACUCCAGCUUGUUUUUGUUGUUGUUGUUUAAAGAUUUUUUUUGAUGUGGACCAUUUUUUAAAGUCUUUAUUGAAUUUGUGACAAUAUUGCUACUGUUUUAUGUUUUGGUUUUUUGGCCACGAGGCAUGUGGGAUCUUAGCUCCCUGAUCAGGGAUCAAACCUGCCCCCCUGCAUUGGAAGGCGAAGUCUUAAUCAUUGGACUACCAGGGAAGUCCCCCCACUCCAGCUUGUUGACUGCAUGUCUUGGGACUUCUCAGCCCCCAAAAUUGGUAAGCCAAUUCCUUAUAAUAAAUCUUUUAGAUAUAGAUAUAUAAUAGAUAGAUAUAAAUAGAUAUAUCUCCUAUUAGUACUUGAGUUUUCUUACUAUCCUAGGGUUUACUCUAUAGAUCAAGGAACCAGUGAGGUUUCUGUCAACUUCUAAUAUCCAUUCCCGUUGUACAUUUGGGAAGCAGGAAAAUGACCACAGGUGGGUUUGUGGACCACAGUGAGGCGUACAUGGAUCAGGAGCCCUUUAUUACUAGAUCAUCAUAUGACACUAACAGGGGCCAUAAUGGUACUUUGGGUCCCCAUCAUUUCAAACCCUGUAUCCAACAGUCCUCAGAAGAUCUGGGCAGUCUCCUUUCCCCACUGUACGGGUAUCUGGGUAAAUGGUCGUAAGUCCCUUUGGAGGAAAGAGUGAGGUGUCACGAGUGACCCAACCUUUCCUUUAGUUGAUGGAUGUGGGUCUGAAGACUGGCUCAGAUCUGGAAACUGCGAAAAGGACUGUGGCUCUCCACCGGGGCUCCAGACAUCUUGGUGCUUAUUAUUCUCGGCCUCUUUUGCUCACCCGUAUGUACCAGGCAGUGACUUUGCUGCUUGCCCAUCCGUCUUGCCUCUGGGAGCACCAUGUUCUAAUAGUCAUGCCCACAGCUCACCACAGGUCCGGGUCCUUGGUUGCCAUUCUGCCUUUGCUGUUCGUUACAAUAAUUGUGCCUAUCCUGUUUCUCACGGUUAAGUGCUGCCCCUGGCCUUUGAUAUUCUAGGGUCCAGUACCAUCCUCAUUACCACCGAAAAGCCCAGACUAAACCGCGUCUCUUAUCAUCAGCCCCAGACUACAGAGGGGUCGCCACUGACUGAAGCAUCUUAAUGAUGGUGGUUCAGCUCUCCCAGUGCUGUCCUCAGCACCUGGGCAGAUGUUUGUCCUCCAGGCCCUUCUGAGGGAAAGUCAGCUGGUGUGUCUGGUCUCACGCUAGGCUAGUCCUAGUGCAUCCAUGUCUCCAGCCUUUUGAUCCCUCCUUCCAUGGUUGAGCACAAUGAUCCUGGCAUUGCUUUUUCCAAGCUUGUAAGAGCCAUCAGGACUUCCCUCUCUCAUCCCGCCCCUAGGCCCUUGCCCAUGAUGUGAAAUCCUUGUUCCAGGGGAAUGGUUCCAUAUUAAUAAACGUGCCCUGACUCGGAGUCUUCCCUCCGUGACCCGGCAUUCUUCAGAUGCACCCCCGGCACACACUUGCAGCUCCUGCCCAUCCACGUUCACCCACUCCUGCGGCUCCUCUGGCAUAGAAUUCUCCCCCCUUCUCAGGCCCAGCGAAGGAGCCUUCACGUGGGUUAUCCUGAACCUGACCCUAGUCAUUGGUCUGGUGGCCAGCAAGAAGGGGAGAGGGGAGAUCGUCAGAGAGCAGUCGUCAUUGUGGCGGCUUUUGCCUCGUUGGAGGCUUGUGCAGAACGUACAAGGAGAGGCUGCUCUCCUUUAACGAGGUGGAGGGGCCGCUUCUGCAAACUCAGGAGGUUCAGGGGAAUCUGGGAGCUUCAGGGUUCUCAAAUGCAGCCACCCAGAAAUACCCACUCCCCCAUUUCAGUCCCUCAGUCCCUCCCAGUCUGUAUCAGGCCCUGACGUGGAUGGAAGAGAGUCGCUUUUCUGGAAGUCUUGUUUGGUUCUCAGCUUGGUCUACCUUCUGGCUCCAGGAGAGGGUUUUUGUUUGUUUGUUUAACAGUGCCAAGGAAGCCUCUGUCUCUCACAGUUUGCUUUGGGUUAGUCAUUGAUUUCCCCCAAGCCUGUCAUUUUCUCUUUUCAGUGCCUCAAAUGAUGGUCAGCAAUGGCCACCAACCCCACCGUCCUUUAAUUACUCUUUGCCCUGUACCUCCCAUGUGCCAGAGAUAUUGCAAUAAAGUCCAUCUCUUUCAACCUGUAUUCCCUUUCAGCUCACCCCCCAGUGAAGGUCUCAGCAAUUACACUGCUACAUCAGGCCAAGGUCUUUCCGUACUCCCACUCGACCACCAGAGAUGAGGGUCCUCACUGCCAGCUAGGUGGCAAGUGAUCAACUCCGGAAUCGCAUCUUUAGAAUUUCCUCUGGAGAGUAUUCUUGGUACCAACGGUCUUAGGGUAAGCAUCCUUCAAGCAGAGUCUGAGACAGGGAUUUGGGUUACUGGGAUUUACUGAGGGAGCACUCUUAGGAGAAAGGGAGCGUAAGGGAAGUAGGGUGAGCCGGGAACGGACCAAGGCAUGGAGAGGGUCUCACGUGGGACCCAGAUACAGCUUGAUCUCUUGGGUAGCCCUGGAGCAUGGCCUGGACCACAGAACCAAUCCCACCUUGAAGCAAAGGAGCCAGGCUUUUGUACCCUCAUGUCAGUUGGUCAUUAGCUGCAGAUUUCUGCAGUGGGGUGGGGGGUGUGACUCCGUGGGUGAGGUCGCUCCCGGCUCCCGUUUGGCUGAGGACAAUUUUCUGGUAGUUCGCAGUUAGGUUCGCUGGCCUGUAAAGUGAUCCGGGCAGGACAUCAACAACUCCUAAGACGAUUUCAGUAAAUAACACCCAAUCCAUCAGUUGCUCAAGCCAGAAACCUGGGACUUAUUUUUGUCUUCUUCCUUUUCUUCAAUUCUCAGUCCAGUCAAUCUCCAAGAUAUGUCUUUAAUUUCCUAAUCACCCCAGUCACUUUUUUCUAUUCUCACCGUCACGACCCAAGUCGACAUCGCCACCAUCUAUUGUGUAUAUUCCUGCAACAGCCCUUAACUGGCCUCUGGUUUAUUAUCUGCAAGACAGCCAAGUUCAGCUUUCUAAAAUCCCCAUCUCUUCAUGUCACUUCCUUUAUUAACCCUUCAGUGGCUCCCAUCACUCUUAUGAUAAUUUUAAACUGCUUUAUGUGGCUUAAAAUAUCCUGCAUGACCUCGGUUCUACUCUCCUUUCCUGGUUCAGCUCUCACUACUUAAAAUCUCAAAAAGCUGACCCAAAUGGACUUCUUUUAGUUAUAUUCAAAUAUGCCACACACUGUCUUUACCCUCUGUCUUUGCACAUAUUUUUUCAUCUGCCUAGAACACCUUUGCUACCUCUCACCUGAUUACCUCAUGUGAAUCUUUAAGACUCUGCCAAGUUAUACUUGCCCCUGAGAAGCCCCCGAACACCUUGUACUCCACUAUCAUACCCUGCAUCAUGUGGCACUGCAGUGGCCUAUAUCUCCUCACUACAGUGCUUUCCCUCUAGCACCCCUUUCCUGAAUUUUUAAAGACAAGUUUCCUUCCAUUUUUCUCUUCUCUAGUGGUUUGGCAGUAAUACAUGCAAUUUCUACUCUUUAAUGGUUUAGCACGAACUCAUGUCUACUUAAAUCCCAAGCUCUGUGGCAGCAGAGAUGAUGCUUACAUUACUUACUGCUGUGUCAUCAGUGCUUGGUGUAUGGAUGGAGCUCAGUAAGUGUUUGCUAUGUAAAAUAAUAAAUGAAUAAAAGUAUCUCAUCUCCUUUUCAACUGCUGCUCUAGAUGCCAGCACCUGCAACUGUGCCUUGCAGAUACUCCAGCCCACCUCACCCCUCCCAGCACAAUGGUGAUUUUGGUCUUGAGAAGGUGGCAGACCUGUUUCCAGUUUUCUCCCUCAAGCCGGAAAGGGCAUACCUGGAGGAAUGAUGCAAGCCACUAGUCCCUGUUCCACACAACUUGAAAUGCAGCACAGAAAAUGAAUGCAGCCUGGGUUCAGCUGAUAAGCAGUAGCUGAGAAAUGGAGUGUCCUUAAAGGAGUCUGAUGGUUCCUUCCAGCUUUACCGGGGAACCCAGAGCCCUCAGCAGGUGAGUUGUGAUGGACCAUGUUUGCCUGGUACUGGCUUUCUCACGUGAACUGACCUACCUAAAAUUCUAGAGUGGGAACACAUAGAAAGACAGACCGUGUUGAUGGAUGGAGCCCAGCAUGGCCAUUCCCCGUAGAAUGGGAUGUUAUGAGGUCCAGACUGGUCCUCCCUUCCCACCCACAAAUGCACUCAGACCCAGUUUCCAAUGGAAUCUCUAGGGGUGAUGUGACUGGGAUACAGUCUUAAUCCCAGUAACCUGGAAAGCACGAGAGGAAGAGAAGCUGGUCUCAAAUUUGUGAU